AGAACAUCGUUUAUAGGCCUACCGCUUCGUUUCAGAUGACGGAUAAUUGUCAGCGCAACACCAAGUAAAACUAUAGUGAAUUUAGCAAGUACACAGAACCAUGAUGUAACUCUUUUCACAGUCACGUGAGCUUGGGGUGUAGAACUUGGAAGUACGAGGAGCCAUUCAAUUCCACCAAUUGUAAUUGCAUCAUACUGAAGUUUUCCACUAUGUUCGGCUUUCCACUUUGUCUCAUUUCUGGGAGGCGUCGCCUCGAAAUAAAGUUAAAACCGUUACCACGCAUGUUCCGAUGAGCAUAAUGACACAAGUCACAG